GGGGGGAUAGCUCAAAGGCAGGGCAUGUGUUUAGCAUAUUUAAAACCUCAUUUCUUUCUUUUUCUUUUUUUAUGGAGGUACUGGGUUCAAUCCCCAGUACCUCCA
rnacentral:tRNA from 1 species